CGAUCUAGCUAGAUCGUCUUUCUCUUUUCAACCUUCGACCUUGGUUUUCUUGGAACUGGCAGCUCUAUUCGCAUCAUGUCCGGGUCGUGCUGUAUAAAUAUUUCAUUUCAGAAACCGUGUGCCGCACACUGGCUAAGAUUGAACAUUUUCUCGAUUGAAAGGAUUAUAUUUUUAAUCAGUUACACAAUUGUAAAUAUCGAAAGUAAAUCUAUUUCCAAGCAUUGAAAAACAAAUGUGGCGAGAGUAUAGACGACUUCUGUUUUAUAUUCUAUCGUAUACUGGAUUAAGGCAGCAAUAAAUAUUCUCACUACUGGAUACACCGAUGAAUGUGUAUUUCUCUUUCUCGGAUUAAUACAGAGACUUGAUAGAUGAUUAAGAUUACUUAUGUGCAUUCAAUGAUCCAUUAUUAGGGAGAAUGAUUAUUAUAAGUCUUCAGAAGGAGACAUCAAAACGUAGUCAAGGUGUCCUGCCAGCUGACCUGCAAGCUGACCUGCAAGAAGACCUGUAAACUGACCUGCAAGAUGAUCUGCAAGAUGACCUGCAAGCUGACAGUAGAUAUCAUUUCGGCCACCUGAUUCCAAUAUCUGGUUGAUGAAACUUUUAGCCCAGAAUCUGAUCAAUUUGGCAUGAGCGUUUGUUGUAUCGGAGAGAGUUUGCAGAUGUCAUCGGCUAAACCGAAGUCUUCCAAGCUAGACUGUUUCUUCUACUUCAAAUACGGAUAGUCGAAGAGUUAACUCUUUCUCUCCUGGCUAACGAUACCAAUAUUGAUUCCACCAGAAUGUGGUAAAUAAUUACGGAGAAAAAGAGUUAAGAGGUAUAUACUUGGAACUAGAAGGAAAGCUGCCCUUCCAAUUUCAGCAAAGUGUAACAAUGCAAGAGUUAAGCUCAAGUAUAAUUCCAAGGUGUUGUUACCGGUCGUCGACUUGUAGCACCAAACUGCUGGUAGACAAUUAAACCGUUGUAGGCGUUAUAUAUUUUAACUAAUAGAACUUCAAAUAACUUGAGUAACUUCCCUUUGUAGAACAAAACACGCUAUUUAUAAUAUAAACAAAAUCAAGUUAAUGUGAAAUCAAAUUAAUGUACUUACUUAGACUUAGUUCCUUCCGUGCCGUUCGGCGCAUUGGGCAGCAAGCUGUCUCCACAAAGAUCUGUCACUGGCAAUGUCUGAAGCUCUUCCCACCUGGUGUCCACUGUUCUGAGGUCCUCCAUAAAGGUGUGGCGCCAGGUUAUACGAGGACGUCCCUGUUUGCGCUUCCUCGUAUUGGCCUCCAUGUCAUCGCAACUCUUGGUGUGCGAUCUUGUACUAGACUUUAGUAAUAAAUUUUUUUAACAAAAUCUACCCCUCUACAGUAUCACAACCUUUCAGUCCUACGUUGUCGAGUCGUCUCCCCUAAGAUCAAGUGAGAAAAGUGCUACUUAUGUUGCAUCAUACAAAAACAAUCCAUAAACAAUCGCUAAUCUCUUCCCACCGUCACCAUUUAAACACACACACACUUCAUAACACAAGGCCGAAAUAAAAUACGCCCUCCUCCCCCCUUUAAACUAAAGUACCUCACCCUUCCCUUUCCCCAACUUAUGUUAUUAGUUUGGCAAUUUGAACAUUAGACAUAAACAUACAUUUAAAAAAAAAAUAAAUGCUGUUAGUUAGAUCAUUACUUAUAUUAAACAUAAAUAAUUAGCAGCACCAGGGACUAAAAUUGUAAGAGAGAUAGUAGUGAAUUAAAUGCUACGAAAAUAAUGGACUGCGCCGACCGAGGCUCGAACCAGUGACCCUGGAAACGACAACACCGCCUAGCGGUAACGCACUAAGCUAACUUAACCUCUAGACCAUCGGAAUGUCCAAAAAACAUUCUUCUUGGUCGGCGCAGUCUCUUAUUUUCGUAGCCUUUAAGUUGGCUUGAAGGUAUUUACGAGGUCAGUUAUUAUCCCCUCGGCUGAUAUAACAAUGGGGUAUAUUGCUAUUUUGGAUAUCUUCCAUAAACGCUUAAUCUCCAAGCCUAGGUUCCCAUAUUUUCUUUGUUUUUCUGUUUCAGUUUUUCUUAAAUUAUGAGACAGUGGUACGGCUAUUAUUAUUAUUAAACAUUUCUUUAUCAAUUAAAAUGCAUAUGAAAUAACUAUACAAAAUUAUCGAUUAUUAUGCUUGU